CCUACGGGUGGCAGCAGUGGGGGAUAUUGCACAAUGGGGGGAACCCUGAUGCAGCGACGCCGCGUGGGCGAUGGAGUGCUUCGGCAUGUAAAGCCCUAUCAGCAGGGAAGAAAAUGACGGUACCUGACUAAGAAGCCCCGGCUAAAUACGUGCCAGCAGCCGCGGUAAUACGUAUGGGGCAAGCGUUAUCCGGAUUUACUGGGUGUAAAGGGAGCGUAGGCGGCCUGGCAAGCCUGAUGUGAAAUACCGGGGCCCAACCCCGGGGCUGCAUUGGCAACUGCCAGGCUGGAGUGCCGGGGAGGGCAGCGGAAAUCCUAGUGUAGCGGUGGAAUGCGGAGAUAAUAGGAAGAACCCCAGUGGCGAAGGCGGCCUGCUGGACGGGGACUGACGCGGAGGCUCGAAAGGGGGGGGAGCAAACAGGAUUAGAUACCCCAGUAGUC
rnacentral:rRNA from 1 species